UAUGUAUGUAUGUAUGUAUGUAGCGACGCUGCAGCAGCUCAACAUGUCGUAUGAUAAACAUGAACUUUGCAUUCUAAUUGCCGUUUUCAAGGUGAGAUUCGCACAGUGCGCGGCGUACCAACUUAAUUACCGCUGUUUAAAUGCUUGUGACUGGCGUUUACUUUUAGCCAGCCGUUGCAGUCAUGCAAUAUUUGCUUACAAAUGUGUCUAUAUAUACCUACAUAUGUAUAUCUAUCGAAAUUAUAAGCAACACCAUUACAUUAGAGAGUCACAUUCACACUGUCACUCCAUAGUCACUGCUAUGGAGGUUUACAGAAUGCGCACAACUACAACGACACACAGAGUUAUAUUGGUAAAUACAUAUACAUAUAUUCACAUGAUCAAUAAUGGCAAUUGGAACCAUAAAAUCCCUAGCGAGCGCAACAAAUACGCGCGUCGACCAAUGGCAGCUAGUUGGUUGGGUAACCUUGACUGAGUGGCAGCGCAGUUAGCUUAAGCACAGUCGCUGCUUGGUCGGUGCAUGCAGCUACUAUGUGGCAAGAUCGUUAUAAUCCGAUGUUUGAGCCGACAUUCGUCCGUAGUCAUUAGAUGCUGAAAGCUUUUAAUUGACGCUUGAAAUGCUUUAUGCGUUGCCAUCUGCCUUGAAAUUUAGAAACCGUUCAAAUUAAUAAGGUCAAGAAAUACUUUGACAUUAUACUAUGUUUGAGAAAGCUCAGAUUUGAAAGUUUUUCAAUCUCGAGAACUUGCUAAAGAAAUUCAAAAGUAUAAAUUUUUUCUCAAUGAUGACAUGCCUUACCAAAAGGGUAUCAUAUAACGGGAGAUCCCAGUAGAGGUUCUCUUUUCAAUUCAUAUUACGCCUGAGCCGCGUUAAGUUGUCAUUUUAAUUUUGUUCAGUAUUGUUUGGCAUUUCAUCAUGUAAAGACUUACGCCCGAACAACGUUUAAAAAUUGUUUAACUUUAUUACAAAAAUUCACGUUCUGUAAAGGAAGUGGUUCGCGCGCUUCGCUUAACUUAUGUUCAUCAUUUUCCGCUUACUGAGCGUCCUAUUUACCACACCAUCAUCCAUAAUAAAGCUCAGCAUUCAUUGCUGGAUAAUAUUCGAUCGAAUACACCACGUCCAGAACGCAGUUAAAAAAGUAUAGCAGCCGUAGCUGAAAGUGUACACGAAGACCGUGGAGAGUCGAUUCGGCGCCAUUCGCAGUAACUCGGGCUAACAUAUGGAAACUUGGGGUAUUUUAUGUCGAGAUCUUAAGCUGAAAGUGUACAAAAUACAUCGGCUGUGGGGAUACGUAAAGUCUAAAGUCUAAGCGGACAAUCCCCGUUCGAUUCAAGCCUUGGAGAAAAACAUCACGCGUGUCAUUCAUCAGUUACAAGUCGAAGUGAUCGAACGAGUCAUCGAAAAUUAGACUCAACGGAUGGAGACGUAGUGGCGGUCAACAUUUGAAAGACAUAAUCUUAAAAAAAUAAAUGCCAAAGAAUGUUCUUUCGAUGAUAAUAAACAUUCCCCAUUCAAUUUGAA